AGCGAACGCUGGCGGCAGGCUUAACACAUGCAAGUCGAACGGGCAUCUUCGGAUGCCAGUGGCAGACGGGUGAGUAACACGUGGGAACGUACCCUUCGGUUCGGAAUAACUCAGGGAAACUUGAGCUAAUACCGGAUACGCCCUUUUGGGGAAAGGUUUACUGCCGAAGGAUCGGCCCGCGUCUGAUUAGCUUGUUGGUGGGGUAACGGCCUACCAAGGCGACGAUCAGUAGCUGGUCUGAGAGGAUGAUCAGCCACACUGGGACUGAGACACGGCCCAGACUCCUACGGGAGGCAGCAGUGGGGAAUAUUGGACAAUGGGCGCAAGCCUGAUCCAGCCAUGCCGCGUGAGUGAUGAAGGCCUUAGGGUUGUAAAGCUCUUUUGUCCGGGACGAUAAUGACGGUACCGGAAGAAUAAGCCCCGGCUAACUUCGUG
rnacentral:rRNA from 1 species